AGCAACCUGAGAGUUUGUACAAGAGUACAGCCUGGGAAUGGGGUGGGGUGGGGGUACAGUUUAAGAAUAAGAGGACACAACCUGAGAGUAGGGGGAACUGCAGCCUGACAGUGGGACUUGCAACCUGAUGCUCUGUCUGCCUGGCAUGUUUGCCCUCCUCUGCCAUGGAAUCCGCCAAGGUCUCCUACAUGCUUAUCAUAACACCCAAACCCUCUGUUAAGGAAACAACAGCAACAGCAAAACAUAAUUCAACAGACUCAAUGCCCCAGGUCUGGAGAAGAACUGGAAGACUCCCAGGGAGCAGCUGGUCCUUAGUCAACAAUGGAAGCCUGGAAAUGCUGGUUCCCAUAUCAGCAAAGGAAUCAGCAGCAGCAGCAGCAGCAGCAGCAGCAGUAACAGGGUAAAUAAACUCAUCAAUUGAGCAUAAAGUGAAAAUCUUCCUUCUGUCAAGACCCUUUUAUUCUGGGUUGCUACUGGCCUGCUUUGGACGGCUCUUCCCUGCAUCAAUUAAGGAAAUCAGAACAACUCUUCAAGUGUGGCUUCCUACUCACAUGAUUCUAAUUUAUGGUAAAUUGACCUUCAAACCACCCUUCACACGUGUUUGGGCCUGAGGCAUAAGUCAGUAGACUGAAGAGGUGGACGUAGGGGCUGGUUUUCAAGACAAGCCUUGUGGGCUUUUUAAGGCCCAAGUGAUCCUUGGGAGUCACUGGGUGUGAUUAGGUGUUCCAUAUCAGUGUCAUGUUUUCAGCCUAAGAAUGGAAAUUUAGAGAAUAAGAAGGCUGGGGAUGGGGAAUGGGGGUGAGGGUGGUGGCAAUGGGGCAUAGCUUAGUUUGUGCUUGCCUAGCAUGUAGGAAGCCCUGAAUUUCAUUCACAGCACUGCAGAAAAAUGGAUGUGGUGGUAACCCCAGAACUCAGGAGGUGGAAUGGGAAGAAUCGGGAAUUCAAAACUGUUUUUCAUUAAAUAGUGAGUCCAGGCCAGCUUGGGCUAUAGAAGACCCUGGAGAUUUUUUGUUUGUUUGGGUUUGUGGGGUUUUGUUUGUUUGUUUUGAGACAGGGUCUCACUGUGUAGCCCUGGCUGUCCUUGAACUCACUCUGUAGACCAGGCUGGCCUCAAACUCACAGAGAUCCGCCUGCCUCUAUUUAGUGUGGGGAUUAAAGGUCUGCACCACGAUGCCCAGCUCAACUCCCACCCCUUUUUUUAAAUUAGCUGGGCAUGGUGGUAUUUGUUUUAAAUAAAAAUGAAUCCCAUAGGCCCACAGGGAGUAGUUCUACUAGGAGGUGUGACCUUGUUGGAGUACGCACGGCCUUGUUGGAAGAAGUGUGUCACUGGGAAUGGGCUUUGAGGUUUCAGAAGCUCCAGCCAGGUCUAGUGGC
rnacentral:lncRNA from 1 species